AUUGAACGCUGGCGGCAGGCUUAACACAUGCAAGUCGAGCGGGGGGAGGUAGCUUGCUACCGGACCUAGCGGCGGACGGGUGAGUAAUGCUUAGGAAUCUGCCUAUUAGUGGGGGACAACAUCUCGAAAGGGAUGCUAAUACCGCAUACGCCCUACGGGAGAAAGCAGGGGAUCUUCGGACCUUGCGCUAAUAGAUGAGCCUAAGUCGGAUUAGCUAGUUGGUGGGGUAAGGGCCUACCAAGGCGACGAUCUGUAGCGGGUCUGAGAGGUGGAUCCGCCACACUGGGACUGAGACACGGCCCAGACUCCUACGGGAGGCAGCAGUGGGGAAUAUUGGACAAUGGGGGGAACCCUGAUCCAGCCAUGCCGCGUGUGUGAAGAAGGCCUUAUGGUUGUAAAGCACUUUAAGCGAGGAGGAGGCUACUUUAGUUAAUACCUAGAGAUAGUGGACGUUACUCGCAGAAUAAGCACCGGCUAACUCUGUGCCAGCCGCCGCCGUAA
rnacentral:rRNA from 1 species